CAAACGCUAAGCACUAAGAACUGAAUCUUUAGCUAGAGUUAAGAUUGCUUAGCGCAUGAAGAAUAAAUAAUUGGAAUUUGUUUGCAAAAAAACUUCCCAACUACUUACUGCUGGCAUAAGUUGAUCUGUACUUCUGACGCGAGUCACCUUGUUUUUGGUAAUCAUCUUCUUGACGCAAUGCUCCACCUGUACGUUCCACUUCAUGAAGGUCACAUAGGCAAUAUAGAUGGUGAACAGGAUGAGCGCCUCCCACCAGAAUAUGCGA